rnacentral:rRNA from 1 species
UACGUAGGGGGCAAGCGUUGUCCGGAUUUAUUGGGCGUAAAGAGCGUGUAGGCGGUUUGGUAGGUCCGCUGUGAAAACUCGAGGCUCAACCUCGAGACGCCGGUGGAAACCAUCAGGCUGGAGUCCGGAAGAGGAGAGUGGAAUUCCUGGUGUAGCGGUGAAAUGCGCAGAUAUCAGGAAGAACACCCGUGGCUAAGGCGGCUCUCUAGUACGGUACUGACGCUGAGACGCGAAAGCGUGGGGAGCGAACAGG